rnacentral:rRNA from 1 species
GAUGAACGCUGGCGGCGUGCCUAACACAUGCAAGUCGAGCGAACCCUUCGGGGUGAGCGGCGGACGGGUGAGUAACGCGUGGGUAACCUGCCCUAUACACACGGAUAACGUACCGAAAGGUACGCUAAUACGGGAUAAAGUUGUUGGAUGGCAUCUUCUAACAAUCAAAGUUCUGGCGGUAUAGGAUGGACCCGCGUCUGAUUAGCUAGUUGGUGAGGUAAUGGCUCACCAAGGCGACGAUCAGUAGCCGACCUGAGAGGGUGAUCGGCCACACUGGAACUGAGACACGGUCCAGACUCCUACGGGAGGCAGCAGUGGGGAAUAUUGCACAAUGGGCGAAAGCCUGAUGCAGCAACGCCGCGUGAGCGAUGAAGGUCUUCGGAUCGUAAAGCUCUGUCCUCAAGGAAGAUAAUGACGGUACUUGAGGAGGAAGCCCCGGCUAACUACGUGCCAGCCGCCGCGGUAA